rnacentral:rRNA from 1 species
AUUGAACGCUGGCGGCAUGCCUUACACAUGCAAGUCGAACGGCAGCACGGGUGCUUGCACCUGGUGGCGAGUGGCGAACGGGUGAGUAAUAUAUCGGAACGUACCUUAUCGUGGGGGAUAACGCAGCGAAAGCUGUGCUAAUACCGCAUACGCCCUGGGGGGGAAAGCGGGGGAUCGAAAGACCUCGCGCGAUUAGAGCGGCCGAUGCCUGAUUAGCUUGUUGGUGGGGUAAAAGCCCACCAAGGCGACGAUCAGUAGCUGGUCUGAGAGGACGAUCAGCCACACUGGGACUGAGACACGGCCCAGACUCCUACGGGAGGCAGCAGUGGGGAAUUUUGGACAAUGGGGGCAACCCUGAUCCAGCAAUGCCGCGUGAGUGAAGAAGGCCUUCGGGUUGUAAAGCUCUUUUGUCAGGGAAGAAACACCGGCUCUAACACAGUCCGGGAAUGACGGUACCUGAAGAAUAAGCACCGGCUAACUACGUGCCAGCCGCCGCGGUAA